CCAGAGAACUUUCCAGAGAUGGAUUGGUGCCUUCGGGAACUCUGAGACAGGUGCUGCAUGGCUGUCGUCAGCUCGUGUUGUGAAAUGUUGGGUUAAGUCCCGCAACGAGCGCAACCCUUAUCCUUUGUUGCCAGCGGUUAGGCCGGGAACUCAAAGGAGACUGCCAGUGAUAAACUGGAGGAAGGUGGGGAUGACGUCAAGUCAUCAUGGCCCUUACGAGUAGGGCUACACACGUGCUACAAUGGCGCAUACAAAGAGAAGCGACCUCGCGAGAGCGAGCGGACCUCAUAAAGUGCGUCGUAGUCCGGAUUGGAGUCUGCAACUCGACUCCAUGAAGUCGGAAUCGCUAGUAAUCGUGGAUCAGAAUGCCACGGUGAAUACGUUCCCGGGCCUUGUACACACCGCCCGUCACACCAUGGGAGUGGGUUGCAAAAGAAGUAGGUAGCUUAACCUUCGGGAGGGCGCUUACCACUUUGUGAUUCAUGACUGGGGUGAAGUCGUAACAAGGUAGGCGUAGUGCU
rnacentral:rRNA from 1 species